rnacentral:rRNA from 1 species
CCGCCAACGGCCAUCUGUUGCCCACUGUAGAAAAUUAAGGGCCUAAUUAAGCUAAGGUAGCAUAAUAAUUUUUAGAUUAAUUGUCUAAUUGUAUGAAAACAGAUACUAAAAAUCAAUGGUUUAUAUUCUUCAAAGAAAUUAGGACAAAAGAGAAAUCCCUUUUAAGGAAUAAAUAGAAGAGAAGACCCUAGAACCUUCGAGCAACUCUCAAACAUAAAAUUAAUUUAAUUGGGGAAAUUAUUUAUAAAAAUACUGGACUUAUAUAAGAAAAUGAACCUUCAGGAUCAACUAUAAAAGGUACUCUAGGGAUAACAGCGCCGCGGCUAAAAAAGUUCUUAUUAAAAAGGCCCUCAGCGACAUCGAUGUUGAAUUAAGAUAGGAGCGCAGAAGCAAUACAGGUCUGUUCGACCUAGUCAUCUU